UGAAUACACAAUAAUACACAAACACCUGACUCAUCCUGACUUCUUUAUCUCUGUCCCCCCCCCCCUCUCUCUCUCUAGGGAAAUUCUGAGGAGUUCUGUUCUUUCAUCACUCUGGUCCGAGGCAGCAAUCGCUGAUUAAAUAUUCCAAACAGGGACAAAGGGGACUUUGGCUUGGUUGGUGCGUCGGCAAGGUAAAACAGCAGCAUUGGGCAGCAUGGUGGCACCUGCAUAAACCCCACUGUGGAGCCUCUCGUCUACGUUCUCUCACCUGAGAUGUCAACCACAGGAUGAGGCCUGCGGCAGGUCUCAGGAGAGAGGAUGUUCCAUGACUUUCACACCCUUGACCUCACGGUAAGGCCUGCUGAGGUUUUUACUUUCCUCUAAUCGGGUUAUCUUUUAAACAGUAUAGUUUUUAUAAGGACUACUGUCAUGGCUGUUAGCGGGAUGAGAAGUGGGCAGUUAG
rnacentral:lncRNA from 1 species